rnacentral:rRNA from 1 species
ACGGCUGACUGGCAUUUGGGGAACGAAACAGAAUUGUUUAUACUAAAAUAAAGUUUUAAGUACGUAUUAAUUAUGAUAAUAUGUAUAGUAGUCUUGACCAAUUACGUGCCAGCAGUCGCGGUAAUACGUAAGAGACGAGCAUUAUUCAUAUUAAAUAGGUUUAAAGGGUACCCAGACGGUCAAAAUACCUUAACUAAAAGGAGUACUUGACUAGAGUUUUAUGUGAGAAGACCGUACUUGAGGUGGAGAGAUUAUAUUCUGUGAUACCAAGGGGACUGAUAAAGGCGAAAGCUGUCUUUUAUGUAAUAACUGACGUUGGAGGACGAAGGCAUAGAACACGAACAGGAUUUGACACCCUAGUAGUCUUUGCAGACAAUGAUGAAUGCCAUGGACUAGUCGCUAAAAUAGGAACUCGUGUCCUAUAAGGCAACACUUUAGAGUGUAGCACAAUUUAGGAUGCGAGUGUAGUUUAAGCAGAAUUAGUCUAUAAAUGAAAAUGAAAGCAUUUCACCUCAAGAGUAAUGUGGCAACGCAGGAACUGAAAUCACUAGACCGUUUCUGACACCAGUAGUGAAGUAUGUUAUUUAAUUCGAUGAUCCGCAC